rnacentral:rRNA from 1 species
GACGAACGCUGGCGGCGUGCUUAACACAUGCAAGUCGAACGGAACUCCUUGGAUAGAGGCUUCGGCCAAUUGAAAUUGAGUUUAGUGGCGGACUGGUGAGUAACGCGUGAGGAACCUGCCUUUCAGCGGGGGACAACAGUUGGAAACGACUGCUAAUACCGCAUGAUAUGUAGAGAUCGCAUGGUUUUACAUCAAAGAUUUUAUCGCUGAAAGAUGGCCUCGCGUCUGAUUAGCUAGUUGGUGGGGUAACGGCCCACCAAGGCGACGAUCAGUAGCCGGACUGAGAGGUUGACCGGCCACAUUGGGACUGAGAUACGGCCCAGACUCCUACGGGAGGCAGCAGUGGGGAAUAUUGGGCAAUGGACGCAAGUCUGACCCAGCAACGCCGCGUGAAGGAAGAAGGCUUUCGGGUUGUAAACUUCUUUUAAGGGGGAAGAGUAGAAGACGGUACCCCUUUAAUAAGCCACGGCUAACUACGUGCCAGCAGCCGCGGUAACAC